rnacentral:tRNA from 1 species
UCUCUGGUAGUAUAUCGGUUAGUACACGCGCCUGUCACUUUCGAGUGCGCGCGAAAGCGGGGUUCGACUCCCCGCCAGAGAG